UACGUAGGGGUGCGAGCGUUGUCCGGAAUUACUGGGCGUAAAGAGCUCGUAGGUGGUUUGUCGCGUUGUUCGUGAAAACUCACAGCUCAACUGUGGGCGUGCGGGCGAUACGGGCAGACUGGAGUACUGCAGGGGAGACUGGAAGUUCCUGGUGUAGCGGUGGAAAUGCGCGAUAUCAGGAGGAACACCGGUGGCGAAGGCGGGUCUCUGGG
rnacentral:rRNA from 1 species